rnacentral:rRNA from 1 species
GACGAACGCUGGCGGCGUGCUUAACACAUGCAAGUCGAACGGAAAGGCCUCUUUCGGGGGGUACUCGAGUGGCGAACGGGUGAGUAACACGUGAGUAACCUGCCCUUGACUUUGGGAUAACUUCAGGAAACUGGGGCUAAUACCGGAUAGGAGCUCCUGCUGCAUGGUGGGGGUUGGAAAGUUUCGGCGGUUGGGGCUGGACUCGCGGCUUAUCAGCUUGUUGGUGGGGUAGUGGCUUACCAAGGCUUUGACGGGUAGCCGGCCUGAGAGGGUGACCGGCCACAUUGGGACUGAGAUACGGCCCAGACUCCUACGGGAGGCAGCAGUGGGGAAUAUUGCACAAUGGGUGGAAGCCUGAUGCAGCAACGCCGUGUGCGGGAUGACGGCCUUCGGGUUGUAAACCGCUUUCGCUCAUGACGAAGCUUUGUGUGACGGUAGUGGGUAAAGAAGCACCGGCUAACUACGUG